GGAUUUUCGAUGAAAACACCUAGUACGAGAGGAACCAUUGAUUCGCACAAUUAGUCAUCGCGCUUGGGUGAAAAGCCAGUGGAGUGAAGCCACCAUGCGCUGGAUUAUGACUGAACGCCUCUAAGUCAGAAUUUGAGCUAGAAGUGACGCGCGUGUUCGUCGCCUGUUUGACGACACGCAGUAGGGGUCAUCUGGCCCCCCAGAGGCACGUGCCGUUGGCCAAGACCCCGCGGCGGAUGAGCCGCGUGGGCCGGCUCAAAGUACAAUUCCCAUCAGGCGACGGAUAGAAUCCUUUGUAGAUGGCCACUCCUCAUGCAUUC
rnacentral:ncRNA from 1 species